UGGCAGACGGGUGAGUAACAUGUGGGUAUCUACCCUUUGGCCUGGAAUAACACGAGGAAACUUGUGCUAAUACCGGAUAAGUCUUUACGGAGAAAGCUUUAUGCACCAUUGGAUGAGCCCGCACUUGAUUAGUUUGUUGGUAGGGUAAUGGCCUACCAAGACUAUGAUCAAUAGCUGAUUUGAGAGGAUGAUCAGCCACAUUGGGACUGAGACACGGCCCAAACUCCUACGGGAGGCAGCAGUGGGGAAUCUUGCACAAUGGAGGAAACUCUGAUGCAGCGAUGCCGCGUGAGUGAAGAAGGCCUUUGGGUUGUAAAGCUCUUUCGUCGGGGAAGAAAAUGACUGUACCCGAAUAAGAAGGUCCGGCUAACUUCGUGCCAGCAGCCGCGGUAAUACGAAGGGACCUAGCGUAGUUCGGAAUUACUGGGCUUAAAGAGUUCGUAGGUGGUUGAAAAAGUUGGUGGUGAAAUCCCAGAGCUUAACUCUGGAACUGCCAUCAAAACUUUUCAGCUAGAGUAUGAUA
rnacentral:rRNA from 1 species